rnacentral:rRNA from 1 species
GUGCCAGCAGCCGCGGUAAUUCAUAGGGGGCAAGCGUUAUCCGGAAUUAUUGGGCGUAAAGAGUGCGUAGGUGGUUACCUAAGCGCAAGGUUUAAUUUAGAGGCUCAACCUCUACUUGCCUUGCGAACUGGGCUACUUGAGUGCAGGAGGGGAAAGCGGAAUUCCUAGUGUAGCGGUGAAAUGCGUAGAUAUUAGGAGGAACACCAGCGGCGAAGGCGGCUUUCUGGACUGUAACUGACACUGAGGCACGAAAGCGUGGGUAGCAAACAGGAUUAGAUACCCUGGUAGUCCACGCCGUAAACGAUGAGCACUUGGUGUUGGGUCCGUUAGGACUCAGUGCCGCAGUUAACGCAAUAAGUGCUCCGCCUGGGGAGUACGCUCGCAAGAGUAAAACUCAAAGGAAUUGACGGGGACCCGCACAAGCAGCGGAGCAUGUGGUUUAAUUCGAAGCAACGCGAAGAACCUUACCAGGGCUUGACAUCCUGCUGACAGGACUUUAACAGGUUCCUUCUUCGGA